CAAUGCCCUUUGGGGCAGUUUUUGAUUAAGGGGAACUUUAAAAUGCCAGUGCUUGUCCAAGAUGAUGAUACUCCUGCCCUGUCACCUACUCUCUUGUGAUUACCAUUUGCAUGGGAUAUCUUUUUCAUCCCUUCACUUUCAGCCUAUGUGUGUUCUUAAAUCUAAACCUCUCAUAAGCCGUAGCAUGUCCUGAAUCUUACUGGCUUCGCCUCCCAAUUGCCAAGUGAACCUGGAGCAGAAGACUCUUUGGGAACCACUGACCUGGGUGGAGGAGAAACCACCUUGGGCGUUC
rnacentral:lncRNA from 10 species